rnacentral:tRNA from 1 species
GGGUAAUUAGCGAAGUGGUAUCGCGUCUCAUUCGCAUUGAGGAGGCCUCGGGUUCGAUUCCUGAAUUAUCCA